GACGAACGCUGGCGGCGUGCUUAACACAUGCAAGUCGAGCGGUAAGGCCCUUUCGGGGUACGACGAGCGGCGAACGGGUAGGAGUAACAACGUGGGUGGACCUCGCCCUCCAGCUCUGGGAGUAAGCCUCGGGAAACCGGGUACGUAAUACCGGAUAUGACUCCAUGACGCAUGUUGUGGGGUGGGAAAGCCUUGUGCGGCUGAGGAUGGGCCCGGCGGCCUAUCAGCUUGUUGGUGGGGUGAUGGCCUACCAAGGCGACGACGGGUAGCCGGCCUGAGAGGGCGACCGGCCACACUGGGACUGAGACACGGCCCAGACUCCUACGGGAGGCAGCAGUGGGGAAUCUUGCGCAAUGGGCGAAAGCCUGACGCAGCGACGCCGCGUGAGGGAUGACGGCCUGUGUAACUACUUCUA
rnacentral:rRNA from 1 species